rnacentral:tRNA from 1 species
UUCUUUGUAGCUCAAUGGUAGAGCAAAUGGCUGUUAACCAUUAGGUUGUAGGUUCAAGUCCUAUCAAAGAAG